GGGUCAUUAAAUCAGUUAUGGUUCAUUGGAUCGUACCACACAGUACUUGGAUAACUGUGGUAAUUCUAGAGCUAAUACAUGCGAACAGAGUCCCGACCGGAGACGGGAGGGAUGCUUUUAUUAGAUCAAAACCAAUCGGCCGGUCGCCGGGCCCUCGUGCUCGUGCGGUCCGGUCCGUUUGCUUUGGUGACUCUGGAUAACUUGGAGCAGAUCGCACGGUCCUCGCGCCGGCGACGCGUCCUUCAAAUGUCUGCCUUAUCAACUGUCGAUGGUAGGCUCUGCGCCUACCAUGGUCGUAACGGGUGACGGGGAAUCAGGGUUCGAUUCCGGAGAGGGAGCCUGAGAAACGGCUACCACAUCCAAGGAAGGCAGCAGGCGCGCAAAUUACCCACUCCCGGCACGGGGAGGUAGUGACGAAAAAUAACGAUACGGGACUCAUCCGAGGCCCCGUAAUCGGAAUGAGAACACUUUAAACCCUUUAACGAGUAUCCAUUGGAGGGCAAGUCUGGUGCCAGCAGCCGCGGUAAUUCCAGCUCCAAUAGCGUAUAUUAAAGCUGUUGCGGUUAAAAAGCUCGUAGCUGGACCUGUGUCCCACGCUGUCGGUUCACCGUUCGUCGGUGUCCAACUGGCACGCCCGUGCGGACGUCCUGCCGGUGGAUGCGGUCGGCCGUGGUGUAGGGCCCCGCGUGGUGCCCCGCCGGAGCCUGGCGGGAAGAACCCCGAAAGGGGGAGCACCCCCGUCCGGGGGACGGCGGACCAGCGCCCGCGGUCGGUUCCGACCUGCGCGUCGGCGGUCCGGUGCAAUCCCGCCGCGGUGCUCUUCACCGAGUGUCGAGGUGGGCCGGCACGUUUACUUUGAACAAAUUAGAGUGCUCAAAGCAGGCAGUGGUUGGCCUGGAUGCUGUGUGCAUGGAAUAAUGGAAUAGGACCUCGGUUCUAUUUUGUUGGUUUUCGGAACCCCCGAGGUAAUGAUUAAUAGGGACAGACGGGGGCAUUCGUAUUGCGACGUUAGAGGUGAAAUUCUUGGAUCGUCGCAAGACGGACGAAAGCGAAAGCAUUUGCCACGAGUGUUUUCGUUAGUCAAGAACGAAAGUUAGAGGUUCGAAGGCGAUCAGAUACCGCCCUAGUUCUAACCAUAAACGAUGCCAGCCGGCGAUCCGCCGAUGUUCCUCCGAUGACUCGGCGGGCAGCUUCCGGGAAACCAGAGCUUCUGGGUUCCGGGGGAAGUAUGGUUGCAAAGCUGAAACUUAAAGGAAUUGACGGAAGGGCACCACCAGGAGUGGAGCCUGCGGCUUAAUUUGACUCAACACGGGAAACCUCACCAGGCCCGGACACCGGAAGGAUUGACAGAUUGAGAGCUCUUUCUUGAUUCGGUGGGUGGUGGUGCAUGGCCGUUCUUAGUUGGUGGAGCGAUUUGUCUGGUUAAUUCCGAUAACGAACGAGACUCCGGCCUGCUAACUAGUCGCACUUGCGGUAUCCCUUCGUGCUACCGGCGACAGAUGAUCUUCUUAGAGGGACAGGCGGCUCCUAGCCGCACGAGAUCGAGCAAUAACAGGUCUGUGAUGCCCUUAGAUGUUCUGGGCCGCACGCGCGCUACACUGAAGGAAUCAGCGUGUCCUCCUGGCCCGAGAGGGCCGGGUAACCCGUUGAAACUCCUUCGUGCUGGGGAUUGGGGCUUGCAAUUGUUCCCCAUGAACGAGGAAUUCCCAGUAAGCGCGAGUCAUGAGCUCGCGUUGAUUACGUCCCUGCCCUUUGUACACACCGCCCGUCGCUACUACCGAUUGAAUGAUUUAGUGAGGUCUUCGGACCGGCGCGCGGCGGCUCCACCUUCCUCCGUCCGGUGCCCCUCCCGCUUAACGGCGGCGAGCGGGGUUACCGCCGGGCGGGGUCGGAGGCCGCUGAUGUCGCUGGGAAGAUGACCGAACUUGAUCAUUUAGAGGAAGUAAAAGUCGUAACAAGGUUUCCGUAGGUGAAC
rnacentral:rRNA from 1 species